UACGAAGGGGGCUAGCGUUGUUCGGAAUUACUGGGCGUAAAGGGCGCGUAGGCGGCCCUCUAAGUCAGGCGUGAAAGCCCCGGGCUCAACCCGGGAACAGCGCUUGAGACUGGGGGGCUUGAGUUCGGGAGAGGAAAGUGGAAUUCCCGGUGUAGAGGUGAAAUUCGUAGAUAUUGGGAAGAACACCGGUGGCGAAGGCGGCUCUCUGGACCGACACUGACGCUGAGGCGCGAAAGCGUGGGGAGCAAACAGG
rnacentral:rRNA from 1 species